AGUGGCAGACGGGUGAGUAACAUGUAGGUAUCUACCCUAUGGCCUGGAAUAACACGAGGAAACUUGUGCUAAUACUGGAUAAGUCUUUACGGAGAAAGCUUUAUGCACCAUUGGAUGAGCCUGCAUUUGAUUAGUUUGUUGGUGGGGUAAUGGCCUACCAAGACUUUGAUCAAUAGCUGAUUUGAGAGGAUGAUCAGCCACAUUGGGACUGAGACACGGCCCAAACUCCUACGGGAGGCAGCAGUGGGGAAUCCUGCACAAUGGAGGAAACUCUGAUGCAGCGAUGCCGCGUGAGUGAAGAAGGCCUUUGGGUUGUAAAGCUCUUUCGUCGGGGAAGAAAAUGACUGUACCCGAAUAAGAAGGUCCGGCUAACUUCGUGCCAGCAGCCGCGGUAAUACGAAGGGACCUAGCGUAGUUCGGAAUUACUGGGCUUAAAGAGUUCGUAGGUGGUUGAAAAAGUUGGUGGUGAAAUCCCAGAGCUUAACUCUGGAACUGCCAUCAAAACUUUUCAGCUAGAGUUUGAUAGAGGAAAGCAGAAUUUCUAGUGUAGAGGUGAAAUUCGUAGAUAUUAGAAAGAAUACCAAUUGCGAAGGCAGCUUUCUGGAUCAUUACUGACACUGAGGAACGAAAGCAUGGGUAGCGAAGAGGAUUAGAUACCCUCGUAGUCCAUGCUGUAAACGAUGUGUGUUAAACGUUGGAAAUUUAUUUUCAGUGUCGCAGCGAAAGCGAUAAACACACCGCCUGGGGAGUAC
rnacentral:rRNA from 1 species